rnacentral:rRNA from 1 species
CCAGACUCCUACGGGAGGCAGCAGUGGGGAAUAUUGCACAAUGGGGGAAACCCUGAUGCAGCGACGCCGCGUGAAGGACGAAGUAUUUCGGUACGUAAACUUCUAUCAGCAGGGAAGAAAAUGACGGUACCUGACCAAGAAGCCCCGGCUAACUACGUGCCAGCAGCCGCGGUAAUACGUAGGGGGCAAGCGUUAUCCGGAUUUACUGGGUGUAAAGGGAGCGUAGACGGCCAUGCAAGUCUGAUGUGAAAACCCGGGGCUCAACCCCGGGACUGCAUUGGAAACUGUGCGGCUGGAGUGUCGGAGAGGCAAGUGGAAUUCCUAGUGUAGCGGUGAAAUGCGUAGAUAUUAGGAGGAACACCAGUGGCGAAGGCGGCUUACUGGACUGUAACUGACGUUGAGGCUCGAAAGCGUGGGGAGCAAACAGGAUUAGAUACCCGAGUA